rnacentral:rRNA from 1 species
UACAGAGGUCCCAAGCGUUGUUCGGAAUUAUUGGGCGUAAAGGGUGCGUAGGCGGUAGGAUAAGUUAGAUGUGAAAUGUCGGCGCUUAACGUCGAACCUGCAUUUAAGACUGUCCUGCUUGAGCACUAGAGAGGAGUCUGGAAUUUACGGUGUAGCAGUGAAAUGCGUAGAUAUCGUAAGGAAGGCCAGUGGCGAAAGCGAGACUCUGGCUAGAUGCUGACGCUGAGGCACGAAAGCUGGGGGAGCAAACAGG